UACGUAGGGGGCUAGCGUUGUCCGGAUUUAUUGGGGGUAAAGAGCGUGUAGGCGGCCAGGUAGGUCUGCUGUGAAAACUCGAGGCUCAACCUCGAGAUGUCGGCGGAAACCAUCUGGCUAGAGUCCGGAAGAGGAGAGUGGAAUUCCUGGUGUAGCGGUGAAAUGCGCAGAUAUCAGGAAGAACACCUAUGGCGAAGGCAGCUCGCUGGGACGGUACUGACGCUGAGACGCGAAAGCGUGGGGAGCGAACAGG
rnacentral:rRNA from 1 species